rnacentral:rRNA from 1 species
UACGAAGGGGGCUAGCGUUGUUCGGAAUUACUGGGCGUAAAGGGCGCGUAGGCGGCUUGUCACGUCUGCUGUGAAAUCCCGGGGCUCAACCCCGGGCGUGCAGUGGAUACGGGCUGGCUAGAGGCAGGCAGGGGAGAACGGAAUUCCCGGUGUAGCGGUGAAAUGCGCAGAUACCGGGAGGAACACCGGUGGCGAAGGCGGUUCUCUGGGCCUGUACUGACGCUGAGGUGCGAAAGCGUGGGGAGCGAACCGG